rnacentral:rRNA from 1 species
AUGUCUCCUGUUGCAAGGCUUGGGAACGCCCAGAUUAAUACAGUCUCAGACAUUAUUGAUGCUGAUAUUUGGACUUGGAAACCUGAAGUGGUCAGGGAAACUUUCAUACCCCCCGAUGCGGAUGCAAUUCUCAAUAUUCCCUUGAGAAGGGGAGGGGGUGAUGAUUAUAUGGCUUGGGCUCUAGAAAGGAACGGGAUUUAUACUGUAAAGUCAGCGUAUCGAUCUCUAAUGAUUCAGAACGAGCAGUCUGCUCUAGAAGAAGGGACGAUAACGAAAACUUCAGAGACAGAAAAACAGUUAUGGUCUCGGCUCUGGAAGUUGAAAGUCUUGCCCAGAGUACGUGUAUUUUGGUGGCGAGUAAUGAGAGGAAUCCUCCCAGUGGAAAGUACACUGACGUUUCGUCAUAUAUCAACUACUAGCAAAUGCAAAAUCUGUCUUAGUGAGGAGGAGGAUCUGAUGCAUGCCCUGUUAAACUGCAACCAUGCCAGGAGUUUCUGGAUAGCAGCACCGGAUCUGUUGGGUGUUAAACGCCCAGUUUUACACCCACACACUUGGAGGAAGGAUAUACUGUGUGAUGCUAGAUUUUCAGAGGCUGAUAAGGCAAGGUAG